rnacentral:rRNA from 1 species
GACGAACGCUGGCGGCGUGCUUAACACAUGCAAGUCGAACGGUGAAGCGCCUUCCUUUUUGGUGGGUGUGGAUGAGUGGCGAACGGGUGAGUAACACGUGAGUAACCUGCCCCCUUCUUCUGGAUAACCGCAUGAAAGUGUGGCUAAUACGGGAUAUUCUGGGUCUGUCGCAUGAUUGGUCUGGGAAAGAUAUUGUUUCGGUGGGGGAUGGGCUCGCGGCCUAUCAGCUUGUUGGUGGGGUGAUGGCCUACCAAGGCGGUGGCGGGUAGCCGGCCUGAGAGGGUGGACGGUCACACUGGGGCUGAGACACGGCCCAGACUCCUACGGGGGGCAGCAGUGGGGAAUAUUGCACAAUGGGCGCAAGCCUGAUGCAGCGACGCCGCGUGAGGGAUGGAGGCCUUCGGGUUGUGAACCUCUUUCGCCAGUGAAGCAGGCCUGCCUCGUUUGUGGGUGGGUUGACGGUAGCUGGAUAAGAAGCGCCGGCUAACUACGUG